rnacentral:tRNA from 1 species
UCCGGUAUGGUGUAUCGGCUAGCAUCCGUCGCUUUCACCGACGAGAGCCGGGUUCGACUCCCGGUACCGGAA